rnacentral:RNase_P_RNA from 1 species
UGAGUUGAUCGAGUGGUUACUCUGAAUUUCAGAGAGGAAAGUCCGAGCACCGCAGGACAAGGUGCCUCCUAACAGGAGGAAUCCACAAGGAUAUGGAAAGUGCAACAGAAAGUAAACCGCUGAUGGAUUUGCUAGCGCAAAUCACAAGUAAGGCUGAAAGGGUGGUGUAAGAGACCACCAGUCUCUCGGGCAACCGGGAGAGCUUGUAAACCCCACCUGGUGCAAGAUCGAAUAAGCUUCCAGAUGUUGUUCGCAUCAUUAUGAGAAGCGGGUAGUUCGCUUGAGGCGAU